AGAGUGCUGCUGGAGCUGGGGAAGAAGAGCAGGGGAGUCCGGACAGUUAGGCGAAGGGUGGCCUGAGGGAAAUGAUGAGAAGUGGAGGGGGAGAUAAAACAGAACACUACCAUUUUGGUUCCGUUCAACUUCCGUGGGAGUUGUGGUGGCAAACAUAAGAAAAUCAGGUCAUCGUUGCGUGCAUGCAGCGAGGGCCGGGCGGAGCGAAAACGUAGAAAAGGCCUAUCAGAAGGCAGCCUUUUGUGCGGUUCCUCGUUAGUAUAGUGGGCUAGAGGAAGAGAAACUUAUGAAAUAAACCAGGAAGAGCCAGCCAUCAAUACCAGAUGCAGUCCAGAGGACCACCGAGGUAAGCCUGAUUGCAAGCUUUGUUGGACCUGUUUCUUUCUGACUCAGAGAUUCCAGCUCAGCUUCCAUUUUUCCCACUAAGUAGGCGGUGACAUUUCAUCACAGCAGGUACUUAUACCUUUUGUUCUGAUGACUUAAAGCACAAGCAGGUUUUGAUAAGUGUUUGCAGGGUUUCAUUUUCAAAAGUCCUAUUUCUGUGUCAUAUUUGUUGGCUUUGAUCCCAGCUUCUCUUGCUCUGCCAACAGAGCAGGUUAUCCCCAUUUGCCCGCAGAAAUAACAUUUUCAUGAGCAAAGGCCAACCCAAAAUGCUUUCCUCCUAAAUGUUCUUUUCAUCUACAAAUCCAUGUUUGAGGAACUAUUAUUUUGUAAUUUCUUACAAAAGGCUUCUUUUAUUUGAAAUUCAGAGUUGAGUAAACCGGUGGAAGAGACUCACAUGGUUCACUCACCCUCUGCCCUCUCCGGCACAUGUGUCUCAGGAUUUCUUAAACCCAGCU